UCUUCCUUUCAACUACAAGUCUACAAUCCAUAUAUCUCAAAAAGACUCAAUUUUAAAAUGAAGAAAAUUGCUACUACUUCAUCCAAUUUCCUAGUAAUAUUUCUUAUUUUAUCAUUAUGUAUGCCAAGCGAAUCGAGGAACUUAAACUUAAACUUGUACUUGUCCUCAACUGUCAAUUUCGAAGGUCGCAGAAAUAGAGAAAUCCCGAAUAAACUAUAUCCUUCACCUAUACCAAAUCCUGGUUAUCGACAGGUUAGUCCGACACCGUCGCCCAUGAUAGAAUAAGGAAAAAGCUAGAAGAAUCAAAACCGGGAAACAUUUUUGAAGAGCCGUUGGUACGCCGCCACCGCAGCCCAUGAUAACGGAAUAAGGAUAAACCGGGGCAAUUUUGCUAAAGAGACACAAAGGAUGGACUACGUGGGCAGCAGCCACCGCCGGAGCACCAGGGCAUCGCCCCGUGGGGGCUAUCCUUCCCCGGCAGCAAAUGUAAAUGACCAUGUACAUCACUAGUGAUGAAUCUCUAUUUUGUUGUGGACUUAAUUCUCAUUUGAUUAUAUGAUGAGACUUUGUUUGAUUGUAUUUGUGUUUAUGCUAUUUCUGCUAUUUCUAUAUAAAGCAACGAAAGUAAACUU